rnacentral:rRNA from 1 species
CCCAGGUCAGGCGGGGCUANCCGCUGAAUUUAAGCAUNUCAAUAANCGGAGGAAAAGCAACUUACAA